UACGAACUGUGCGAACGUUAUUCGGAAUCACUGGGCUUGCAGGGUGCGUAGGUGGCCGGACAAGUCGGACGUGAAAUCCCCAGGCUCAACCUGGGAACUGCGUCCGAUACUGGAUGGCUUGAAUCCGGGAGAGGGAUGCAGAAUUCCAGGUGUAGCGGUGAAAUGCGUAGAUAUCUGGAGGAAUACCGGUGGCGAAGGCGGCAUCCUGGACCGGCAUUGACGCUGAGGAGCGAAAGCCAGGGGAGCAAACGGG
rnacentral:rRNA from 1 species